UGGGGAAUAUUGCACAAUGGGCGCAAGCCUGAUGCAGCCAUGCCGCGUGUGUGAAGAAGGCCUUCGGGUUGUAAAGCACUUUCAGCGAGGAGGAAGGUGGUGGACUUAAUACGUUCAUCAAUUGACGUUACUCGCAGAAGAAGCACCGGCUAACUCCGUGCCAGCAGCCGCGGUAAUACGGAGGGUGCAAGCGUUAAUCGGAAUUACUGGGCGUAAAGCGCACGCAGGCGGUUUGUUAAGUCAGAUGUGAAAUCCCCGGGCUCAACCUGGGAACUGCAUUUGAAACUGGCAAGCUAGAGUCUCGUAGAGGGGGGUAGAAUUCCAGGUGUAGCGGUGAAAUGCGUAGAGAUCUGGAGGAAUACCGGUGGCGAAGGCGGCCCCCUGGACGAAGACUGACGCUCAGGUGCGAAAGCGUGGGGAGCAAACAGGAUUAGAUACCCCUGGUAGUCCACGCUGUAAAACGAUGUCGAUUUGGAGGUUGUGCCCUUGAGGCGUGGCUUCCGGAGCUAACGCGUUAAAUCG
rnacentral:rRNA from 1 species